GCUGCAGUUCAAAUUGAGCCAAAACCUUCUUUUGCUGCAGUACCAUCCUGGUCAAGAGGAAGUGAAAAGUACUGAUAUUAUUCAGUUGAAGAGAGGAAAACAAUCCUGGCAAAGUCUGUUUAGAAGGUUUUCUAAAGAAAGGCUCAUUAAUAGUAUCAGCCCAUCCUGUUUCUGUUGGGAUAAAAUCUUUGCAGUAGAUUUUUAGAUAGAUUUACUCGUUUUAAUAAUCUGCCUUGUCUCUUCACGGGAUACAAACUUCUUUUAGAGGCAGGACUGGAGCCAAAGUUUGGGUUGUUCACACCUUGACUGUGGGAGCUGGACUUCAGUACUAAGUCUGCUUCCUAAGCCGUCGUUAUGUUUCUAAAGUCAGCUUUACUGUCUGCUUGCCAAAAAGGCAAGCUGUUAGAUGAUCAGGUGCGAGGAUAAGGGAAUCAGAAUUAGGCAUUUCAUUCGUGGCUCUUCAGUAAUAGGCUGAGACUCAGCCAGAAGCAUGGUAAUACAGAACUUGGCAAGUGGGAGUGCUGACAACUAUAGUCUUAGUUUUUACUUGGCUGGUUAAAAAUGAAUAUUAAUACAGUAGAACCUGAAUGGCUGCAACUUUGCUAAAUCUGUGUUUCUUCUCUUUUGCCUGAUCUACCUUGAAGAAAUGCUGUCAAUCACCCAUCACAUUCCUCUGGGAAGGAGCUUCCUGUCUGGCGUGCUGCAGCAGUGUCUGCCCAAUCACUUGCUCCAUGUGCUGCUGAAGAAACUGAAGAGCUUCUUCAAUUUCCAUGACUAGCUGCUGGUGAAAUUCCAAAUGGGUUUGCUGUGUUUCCUCCUCGAGCUUCUCCUCCUCUUCCAGAAUGUGGGACUCCUGGAGACGUUAUUUGGAAGGAUGUUAGGGGAACAGAUGCGGAGCAGAUGGAUACAGGACCAAGAAGAAAGAAUAAAAAAUCAUAAUACUAUAGAAGAUCUGAACAGAUUUCUUACGAUGCUCAAGUAAGACCUUUUCAAGCAUAUAUCAUGAUCCCUAGCAGAUUCAAUAGCAGGAACA